UACGGAGGGUGCGAGCGUUGUCCGGAAUCACUGGGCGUAAAGGGCGCGUAGGUGGCCUGUGGCAGUCUGCGGUGAAAGCCCGGCGCUCAACGCCGGGUCGGCCGUGGAUAUUCUCGGGCUCGAGCUUACUAGAGGCAGAUGGAAUUCCGGGUGUAGCGGUGGAAUGCGUAGAGAUCCGGAAGAACACCGGUGGCGAAGGCGGUCUGCUGGGGUAAUGCUGACACUGAUGCGCGACAGCGUGGGGAGCAAACAGG
rnacentral:rRNA from 1 species